UAUAAAUAUUUGAAACACUAUAUUUCUAGGUGGAUGCAGAAAGUGUGUACUGAACUUUUAUGUUUGUUGCAUUUUAAUAAUGAUUAAAGCUGAGAAAAUAAUUUAGCAGCAAAGUUGAGUCAACAAUUGCAGCAAUGCGAGGGCUUUCAGCUACUACAGCUAGCAAUCAACCACAACUUACUACUUUGUUUUAACUGGCUGCUCAUGAAGCUAAAAAAUCAAGUACUCAGGGUUGCAUUUAACAGUGAUUUUAUUCUACUGCAGAUCGAUAGGGUGCCCACAACAUCAGUGGCCCGUGAACCAGAGGCUUUUCACUAUGGAUAUCAUGUACUAUAGGUAAUGUUGUAGAUAUUGGAAACACAUUGGGCUAGAUGCAUUGGAUUUAUCAAAGCCAUUGAACUGCCACUUUUGCCGCCGCUGAAAAAGUCAGUUGAACGGAAAGUAGUGCUUGGAAACAAUUGGACCUGGUUGUUGCAACUGGUGGUGAUGGAACUCUUCCGCUGGCCCGCCAUUUAAUGGAUGGCAAAAUUCCUGUCCUUUGAUUGAACUCAGAUCCUACUUGGAUUGAUGAGGUUUAUGAUAUACAUGUAGUAUUUGUUUAAAUAUUGAUAUAUUGGCUUCUGAAUUUAGACAUUUUGUUUGAAUUAAUGAAUUUAUAUCUUAUUUGUAAUAGGUGGAAAAAUUAAGUGGUGGGUUUUGAUGCUUCUAGAAGUACCGGUCAUCUUUCUGCUGCAACUAUUGAAAACUUCGAACCAAUAUUCUUUCAGUUUUGAUUCCAUGGAGUAGCUAAAACUAUUUAUGUUUUAUGAUGCUUUAGUUCUUUCGUUUAUGUACAACUUAAUGAAUUAAUAUCUUUACUAUUAUAGAUUAUAUUCUUUGGAAUAAGAUUAUGAAAUUUUAUAUUUGCAUCAUUCUUUUUUGCCAUUGAUUUGUGCCAUUGAUUUGUGCUUUGGUUUGGGGAUUAAUAGUAGUUACCUUUUUUUGUUGUUUAAUGUGGAGACACCACCUUUCAUUUUAUUA